UAUUACAUACUUUAUCCAUAAAUAAACAAGGAAAAUAAAUUUCGGAUUUAAACAAUUUGUAAUAUAUAAUCAUAAGAUAGAUAUAAAAUGCACACAUUAAAUUGUGCAGACAAAGGAUAAGUGUUAGUGCAUACAAACAAUCAUGGCGGGUUUUGGAAGACUUGUUUCUCCUGGUUUCUAUAAUCAUUUUUUAAAUGCAAGAUGUUUGUUAACAGGCUCUUAUCAAUUUGUAUCAACAAAAGUAAUAAAACAAUUAGAAAAUGAAUUUUUUCCGAACAAACCAAAAAAACCAUUAACACCAUUUUUUAAAUAUAUGAAAAUAAUGAGACCAAGCAUUGUCAAUAAAUUUCCAGGAUAUAAAUCUAGUGACAUUGUAAAAGAGUUAUCUGCAAGGUGGGCUUUGGAAGACCCAGAAUAUAAAUUUAAAUUAAAUAAAGAAUAUGAUACAGAAUACAAAGAAUAUAUGGUGAAAUUAAUAGAGUUUGAAAAAACAAUUACUCCAGAACAAAGAGAAAAUUAUAUGAACAUGAGAAAGAAUAUAAAUAAAAGGAAAGAAAGCAAAGAAGAUGUUACAUUACUUGGAAAACCAAAAAGACCACCUUCUGCUUUUAUAUUAUAUAUGCUCAACCAAAUGAAAGUACAAAAACCUGUUAUUAAAACUAAGGAAUAUUUGAAACAGCUAAGUAUUCAAUGGAAUACUAUGAACGAACGAGAUAAACAACAGUUUAUAGAUCAAGCAGGGAAAUUAAUGGAUCAAUAUAAUAAAGAGAAAGUAGAAUGGAAACAAAAUAAGAUAAAGGAGAGUCAUAAAAGUGAUUCACAUGAACAGUUUUUUGAUGUUCAAAAUAAAAAUAAAAAUAUAUAGGAAAUAAUGUGCCCCAGCCAAUCUCAUAAAAAAGUUAUUAAUACCACAUUAAUUCCUAUAGAAGUAUUUAAUAAUAACAUUGUGGGUUGGGGCACAGAGAUUCCUGAUUCUUCAAUAGAUAUUGCAACUUACAAAUAUUUUAUUGGACAAAAUUCAAUAAUUUAUAAAUAUCUUUUGAAACAUUCUCAGCUUCAUCAUAAUCUGUAUUCUAUUUCGACUUAUAUGGUUAAAUCCAAUGUUAUUAAAAAUGAUUUGAUGACUCAUACCCAUGAAAAUUAUUUAUUACAAAUAGAUAAGAGUAAAAAUGUUGCAUUGGUACAUUAUUUACAAAGUAAUACUAACAAGACACUAUCUGAUCCUAAUACAUUUAUGAACAAUGUAAAAGUACAUAUUUCUAAAUCUGAAGAACAAAAUGAAAAAUUACAAUUUCAUACGAAAAUACUGAAAAAUUUAACAAAAAAUUGGGACACAGUAAAGAAUUUGUUGUAGACAUAUAUAAAAAUGAAGAAGCAGAAACUACAAAUGAUAUGUGUCCAUGUGCAGUUAUAUCAAUUGGAGAUGCUAAUGCAGACAAGCACUACAAAUAUGUAUAUUACAAUAUGUACACUGGAUAUAUGUAACAAAUAUAAAAUUUAGUAUAUGUUCCCUAUUGCUUAUAUAUAAUAUACAACCAUAUUAUUUGGAGAA